CACAAGUGCUUUCCUUUCAAUUUUGUGUUUCUCAUCAAACGAGUUUCCUAUUGAAGCUGCCCCUGCUAUUGAUUCGUGUUCUUUCAGGAGAGUGUCUACGGAGAUAUAUAUCAUCAAUACCUUGCCAGUGCCAGCAGCUCCUGAUCUAAUCCAAUGUGCAAACCAAUUGGCAAGCUGAAACAGCUCGGCGGUCAUCAGGAGGUUCUGCUUGCAAGGCAAGACUCAGGGCCACCUCCCAGGCGUCUCCAGCUUCCUUUGAGCAUUGCCUGGGAAAGAGGAGUUCCGUGCUGCUUGAGCAAAUGCCAUAGGUCCGGUUUUUUUUGUUUGUUUGUUUGUUUUGUUUGUUUUUUGCCAAAGCGUUUUGAGUUAGCCUUACAGUGGAAAUAAAACUGCCCAAAUGUA